rnacentral:tRNA from 2 species
CUUGCGUAGCUUAACUAAAGCAUGACACUGAAGCUGUUAAGAUAAACCCUAAAAAGUUUCACAAGCA